rnacentral:lncRNA from 1 species
GCGGGGAAGCCGAGGCCGUGCCCCAGAGCCAUCUCUCUGCUGGUUCUGAGGCCAUUGAGUCUGGUGUUGCCGGAACCUCUGGAGUCAGGACUUCUAAAGCCUGGCCCGAGUGGCUGGUGAGCCUUCUGUGUCUGGCUUGGUGGGCAGGAAGUGCUGUCCGUGUCAUUUGAGGAGCUCCAGACUUCUGGACCUCGGCAGUGACAGGGUGGGCCAGGACCCCUUCUCCUCAGGGCAUCUCCUGGGAGCGCCUCCUGCCUCCUCUGGGAUGAGAAAGAGGGAUGCACAGGCAGCCGGGUCUCCCUGACUCUCCUCUGACCCUUCCCUUACCUGCCACCCCAUCUCCUGCAGCUCAUGGGUCACAGCUGGAGGCCACCCAGUCGGGCGCUGCACACUGCACAUUGCCACGUGAGCCUCCGGCAGGCCCUACGCUCAGGGUGCUUGACUUGUUGCCUCCACGGUGGAUCUCUUUUCAAUUUGAAAGGAAAAUCAGCGAAGCAUACCCCGUUAUUGGGUUAGUUUUCUGCUGCUGCGUAACAAACAGCCACACGCUCAGCAGCUUCCAACAGCGCACGCUCCUGACCUCACAGUGGCCGCGGGUCAGCCUGUGGCACGGCAUAGCUGGGCUCCCUGCCUCAGGGUCUCACAGGCUGCAGUCCAGAUGCCUGCCGGGGCUGCGGCCCCACUGAAGGCGCCACUGGGCAAGGAUCCACUUUGAAGCUCACACGCUCAUGGAAGGCUGUCAGCUCCCUGUGGGUUGUUCUUAGCCACGUGGGGCUUCCCAACAUGGCCACUUGCUUCCUUAAAGCCAGCGAGGGAGAGAGAGAGUGUCCUAGAAAAACGAGGUACAGUCUCAUGUAAGGUUAUCACAGGGGUGACCACCCAUCACCUUGGCCAUAUUCUGUUGUUCAGAAGCAAGUCACAGGGCCCAUCCUCAAGGGGAGAGGACAGCAAGGCCCAAGUACAAGCAGUGGGCAUUGUGGGAGCCCCCCGAGAGUCUGGCAGCCACACUUGCUAAGUAAAAGUCAACACACACACUUAACCUCUUCACUGAGGACGCCUCCAAAAAACGGCAGCCAGGCAGCCCUGAGCACCUCUCAACGCAACUUCUCAGCAGAAGGGACCCAGCCGACCCAGAGGAGCGGCCGAGUCCAGGGAAGGGCAGGAGACGGGCAAGACGAGCCAGGAUGUCUCGGCUUCCCAGAAACCCGGGAGACCACCCAAGACCACUGUGGUGCCGUCAAAAGAACAUGGGAGCCAACCCAAAGAGGCUCCCACUGGCCCCAGCAGACGAUUUAGCAUCAGUAAGAAUAAUGGCCACAGGGCAUUGAAGCACACCAAAUGUUUGUAACUGGUGAGUUUAUGGUGAUACUUCAAUGAUUGUAACAAUGAUACUCCCUCUAUGUUCCUCCAGGGCUGAGGGCUGUGAGGACAGUGGCGUUCCUUCUCUGAGCCGUAGCCAGUGCCCCUCACUGAGCUCUGAGAAGGAGGAGCCAGUGUCUAGAAGUUUCCGCACAGAGGAAGCCCUGCAGCCUCCUUGACAUGCAGAACGCUGUGUUCUUGAGGGACAGUGAGGGUGGGUCCCUGGUGCUAGCUGGGGGACGCUGGGUGGGUCACCAAGCUUCUCCAAACUCCAGUCUCCUUGUCUGCUACAAAACGAAAGAAAGAAAGAAAGAAAAAGAGAGGCAUGACAGUGUUCACCUCUUAGGCUUCUUGUGGGGUUUAGAUGAGAUGACGUGAAGGAGGGCAUUAUGAGUUGGGAGAUGGCCCAGAGUGCUCAGUGACAACAGGUUGUUAGGUUCUCAUCCUCAGAACUGGAGUAGCGUUUCCCAAACUGUUGGAUACCAGGUGUGCACCUAAAAGUUUCCUUGCACAAAUAUGCACGAGGUAUGUAGGACUUCUCAGAGCCUUUAGAAAGCACGUCUAGUGUGCAGACACCCAGAUUUAUUUGCAAUGGCAAAAUGGAGCCACUUCUGCCCGAGGUGUCUGCGACCAUCAUAUAGGGCUUGGGUUUGAGGGUUCUAGUGUGGGCAAGGUAGGGGGCCAUGGAGACAGGUGACAGGGCAAGGCCAGGAGCCCAGCAGGGAGCUGUGGUUAUAACCUGCAGCAGCCUGCCCUGGGGUUUUGGGUUCAUGGAGGAGGCGUUCCUGGAGGCGGCCACUAGGAGGGCUGCUGCCACUUUGGGCACCAAGCAGUUGACCCUGAUUGGAGGGCGGGCGGAGGGGGCGAGGCAGUCCGUCCUGGGGCCGGCGCCUCUGCCGGCGGCGCCUGCGCGUGUCCCCGGGGAGGGCGAGGGUGGCAGAGGAUCACAGAGCCUCGCGGAGGAGGGAGCCGGCCUCGGAAGGAGCCUCGGGGGUGUGCGUCUCGGGGAGCUGGAGAGAACCUUCGACCAGCAGUUCUAGCCUUGAACAUGUGUGCAAAUCAGAUGCAGAUCUUGUUAGAAUGGAUUCGGAUUCAGUGGGUCUUGGCAGGACCGGGAUUCUGCAUCUCUGACCAGCUCCAGAAAUUGAAAGCAGCCAGCUCGCUGAUGGCCUGCCUCUGAUUCUUUUUGUGGGAGCUGAGAGAAAACUUUACGUUCAGCUUUAGGAACUGGGUUGGACAUUGGAGCACGGACGGCUGACCUGCCUUCAGUUUCCAUGCUAUCCUGGCUCUCCCACGGUCUUGAGUUGAGAACAUUUAUUCACAUUUCCACCAUUUUUGUGUACUGGUGUGCUCUAUCAAAUCCUUGGCGGAAUGAGUCAACAGCAAAUGAUAAACAAUUUAAAGCCCUGUGAUAUUUAAUUAUAGGCCAGUGGGCUUCAGACACCUUGACAGGAGGAGGACAGGACGGAGCACUAAGGGCCUCAAGAACAAAGGCCAUGGGGAAGGCCCUGCACUGUGUUAGGUCCCUCUACUCAGAACUCUGCAACCGUGAUCAAGGGGUUAAAAACGAAGAGCAAGCAAGGCAUCAGCCCAUCAGGUUCCUCCCCACUCCUCUGCUUCCUGUCCUUGGAAGGGUUUCUGAUGGAACUGGCAACACUUUCCUACAGCCUUUGAUUUAAGAUCCUCUCUGUGACAUAUUUAAAAACAGAUUAAAGACGUACUUGAACUCC